GACAAAGUUGAGUCAGAUGUUCAUGAUUGGUUUGCUGUCUGGCACUGGAAUUAGUAAUGUGAGUGCUACACUCGCCCAGGGGUGGAGCCAACAUGCAAUGUGGGGGCGGGAAGAAGGCAUGUCUUUCCUCUUUUUGCUCUGUUAGCUCUUGCUGUUUGCAGUGGCCAUGAAUGGCUGCCCUACCACGCCACCUUGCAUUGGAACUAGCUGAAUAUGGACUGAAGCCUCCAUAAACUUCUCUUGCAGCAAUCUAUGGCAGUCUGGAAAGAGCCCCGUGUCAGGAAGAUGGAAACUAGUUCUGCUCAGACUCGCUCUUGACUUUGGACACAUCGCUUAGGCUGUGUUUACUCAUCCAUCAGAGGACCCUAAUAAGGCUAGAGGUCAGGAAGUGACUUAUUCUGUGCUCACCAGUCAAGAACACAUUCAACCAAUAAAGUAAGUCUAUAUGUUCCCUGGUGCCAGUGUGGGGGUGUUGGUCUACAUGAAGCCAAGAAUGUGAUGUAAUUCUCAAGAACAGGAAGAGGGUUAGCUGGAAUGGAAAGAGGACUCUGACUUGGGGGCGUUGGUAAGGGGGGGUGGAAUGGAAAACAGGGUAGAUUUUUUUUUUUUCAAAAGAGCAAAGCCAGAAAUGAACUGGCAAAAGCAGAAGGAAUUGAAAAACUGAAAGCCUUUCUAUCCCAUCUCUUGUAAUAAAGCAGACAGAAAAACAUCAAACACUGAGGUGGUUCUUAUAGCACUUAUUAAGUGGUAGAAAUUACUCUCUUGGGGCCCUCCUGACAUAUGGGACAUUCCCCUGCACUUUUCUCUUCAAGCAAACAGCAGCUAUUCUGAUUACAAGUGAGAAAA